rnacentral:rRNA from 1 species
UACGUAGGCAGCGAGCGUUGUUCGGAAUUACUGGGCGUAAAGGGCGCGUAGGCGGAUUAGUAAGUUGGGAGUGAAAGCCCGGGGCUUAACCUCGGAACUGCUUUCAAAACUGCUAGUCUUGAGUGAAGUAGGGGAUGAUGGAAUUCCUAGUGUAGAGGUGAAAUUCUUAGAUAUUAGGAGGAACACCGGUGGCGAAGGCGGUCAUCUGGACUUCAACUGACGCUGAGGCGCGAAAGCGCGGGGAGCAAACAGG